rnacentral:rRNA from 1 species
GAUGAACGCUGGCGGCGUGCCUAAUACAUGCAAGUCGAGCGAACGGACGAGAAGCUUGCUUCUCUGAUGUUAGCGGCGGACGGGUGAGUAACACGUGGAUAACCUACCUAUAAGACUGGGAUAACUUCGGGAAACCGGAGCUAAUACCGGAUAAUAUUUUGAACCGCAUGGUUCAAAAGUGAAAGACGGUCUUGCUGUCACUUAUAGAUGGAUCCGCGCUGCAUUAGCUAGUUGGUAGGGUAACGGCUUACCAAGGCAACGAUGCAUAGCCGACCUGAGAGGGUGAUCGGCCACACUGGAACUGAGACACGGUCCAGACUCCUACGGGAGGCAGCAGUAGGGAAUCUUCCGCAAUGGGCGAAAGCCUGACGGAGCAACGCCGCGUGAGUGAUAAGGUCUUCGGAUCGUAAAACUCUGUUAUUAGGGAAGAACAUAUGUGUAAGUAACUGUGCACAUCUUGACGGUACCUAAUCAGAAAGCCACGGCUAACUACGUG